UACAGAGGUCUCAAGCGUUGUUCGGAUUCAUUGGGCGUAAAGGGCUCGUAGGCGGUUUGUCACGUCGGGAGUGAAAACUCGGGGCUUAACCCCGAGCCUGCUUCCGAUACGGGCAGACUAGAGGUAUGCAGGGGAGAACGGAAUUCCUGGUGUAGCGGUGAAAUGCGCAGAUAUCAGGAGGAACACCGGUGGCGAAGGCGGUUCUCUGGGCAUUACCUGACGCUGAGGAGCGAAAGUGUGGGGAGCGAACAGG
rnacentral:rRNA from 1 species